rnacentral:tRNA from 1 species
UGAGACGUAGCCAAGUGGUACGGCAACAGACUUUGACUCUGUGAUACGAAGGUUCAACUCCUUCCAUCUCAA